rnacentral:rRNA from 1 species
AGUGAACGCUGGCGGUAGGCCUAACACAUGCAAGUCGAACGGCAGCACAGGAGAGCUUGCUCUCUGGGUGGCGAGUGGCGGACGGGUGAGGAAUACAUCGGAAUCUACUCUGUCGUGGGGGAUAACGUAGGGAAACUUACGCUAAUACCGCAUACGACCUACGGGUGAAAGCAGGGGAUCUUCGGACCUUGCGCGAUUGAAUGAGCCGAUGUCGGAUUAGCUAGUUGGCGGGGUAAAGGCCCACCAAGGCGACGAUCCGUAGCUGGUCUGAGAGGAUGAUCUGCCACACUGGAACUGAGACACGGUCCAGACUCCUACGGGAGGCAGCAGUGGGGAAUAUUGGACAAUGGGCGCAAGCCUGAUCCAGCCAUACCGCGUGGGUGAAGAAGGCCUUCGGGUUGUAAAGCCCUUUUGUUGGGAAAGAAAUCCAGCUGGCUAAUACCCGGUUGGGAUGACGGUACCCAAAGAAUAAGCACCGGCUAACUUCGUGCCAGCCGCCGCAGUAACAC